GCAAGAGUAUAAUGGGGUAGAAGUAGAGAUUGCACUUGUACUGUAAGAAUGAUGGAAUGGGAAUUUGGAAGAGUUACCCUAGAAAGAAAAAGGGAUAGCACUGUCAAUGGCAGAGACCAAGUCAGCUAAAGAAAAGGCCCUCUUCAGCAGUGUUAUGACUGAGAGUGGUUGAGUCAAUGUGAUAACCUGCAAUCCAUAGAUUUAUUAGCUUGCACCGUAAGGCAUGUAGGCUGCCUAUAGCAACAUUCUAUUCUCUCCAGGUCAAUCUGUAAAGGAGCUCAUAAUGUUUCUCAGUUAAUCUCUGGUACCUUUUUUUGUGAAGAUCCAAGUCUUGAGAAUGCCAAGAAAAAUGAGCAUUCUGGUAUUGAGUAGGUUUGAGAGCAUUCUAUUGUGAUGAGAGAAAAUAUAAUAAGGGUACAACUAAUUGUUGCUUAUGAUGAGUACGUUAAUAUAAAUGUUCAGUAAAUCAGUGAAUCUACCAGUCUAAUAAAUAUUGAGUCUUAAAAAAAAUGCAUACCUUAUAAGGGAAAAGUAAGACAAGUAAAAUAUAAUAAAGAAUUAGAAUAAAGAAUACAUUUUAUAGAUGAGGUAAUUUAUUUCAAAAAUUGCUUUGAAUCCUGCUCCCAAUUACUUGUAUGGGAGCAGGACCAUUUUCCUCUCUCUCAAUAAUCAAACUACUUGUUCUUAGCUUUUCUAGGUCAUCAUUCUAGGCUUUGUUGAAGCAUGCAUUUUUGGCAUGAGGGUGGCAGCCUUUGCACUAUGUGCAUGGCUGAGGAGUUAGGAUCUGGAGGGUGAUGAAAGCAAAGGUGCUGCUGGUUACUCUUGGUUCAUCUAGCAAUAGAUGAUCUGAAUGUUAGAGUUCGCCAAAUAUUGUUCCUGGGCAGUCUUUGCUCUACCAAAUCAACUUUCUCCAUGGGGGAGCUAGAAGUCACCCCACAUUCUCCGCCAUGGCCAGCUCUACAUUCUAAGAGAACCAAUGGCUCUACCCAACAUAUUCUUCUCACCACAGAUGACAAAGACACAAGGAGCCAAGACAGAUCAUUCAAGCAUAUUCAUUGCCUCUAUCUUCAUCCCAUUAAAUAACAUCCCGCCAACCAAAGCAAGUUAUCUGCAUAAGAAUAAAUAUUCCACCUACUCUACUGCAAGGCCCUGCAAGAGUCAUGAGACAAAAGGUUUGGAUGUAAUCCUAUUACAGUGAGUGGGUAGGGGUAGUGAAGAGCAGAGAACCUUAAUCCAUUUUACCACAGUUAUCAAUAAUGACAGUAAGAAUAGUAAUAGUGAUGAUGAUGAUGAUGUAAACAAGUUUUCUUUUCCGCAGCUUUUAACAUUAAGCUUUAUUCACCCUGAGAUUUUUACCCUUAAUUUAAAGGCCUAGUAAGAUGGCCUUACAGAAAUAAUUUUUUUUUUCUCCAUGAGCCAUUUAAGAGCACUUUAAUAAGGAGGAAAAGAAAUUCCUUGUGAGUGAAGAGAGGCAUGCAUUGGAGAUGAUGUGUUACUGUGAAACAGCGUACAGAAUGUAGAAAUUAGCUUUGAAAAUGUGACACCCAAAUUAACAUCCUGCCUAGCUCCAAUCAGCUUGAGUAUUAGGGAGAGAGGACUGUAGUCUCAAUUGUGUAAAUUUAGAAGAGGCAUUUUUUAAAAAAACUAAAACUACAGGCUGCAGUAUUUUGUUGCUUAGAUAAUAAGAGUGUGUCACACUGGGAAUGAGGGUUCCUUCUUUCCACUUUUUAGACACUCCUAAAACCCAGCAGCCUGAGAAUGAAACAGGAACAGUCUGCAAGUUAAUUAAAAGCGGUGGAGGCUUAUGGUUCAGCAACCAUAGAUAACAGUAGGUGAUCCCCACUGUUGAGAUGUGAUGACUUAACACGAUAGAUGGAGGGAGGAGAAAACUAGCAGAACCCACAGUGAGAGAACUGGAUUUAGUAACGUACACAGACAUCUUACUGGAGAGGAAAAUUCAAGGAAG
rnacentral:lncRNA from 1 species